CUAAAAUUCUGAUAAUCCUUGUUUUUACUGCUAUGGUGGCAAAUAUGUAAAUACUGUAUAUGAUGAAGUAUGGCAACCCUUACUGGACAACCUACGUAUUAUACGAGAAUCAGACGCGUCCACUUUUCCCUGUUUGGUGGACUGGGACAUAUUUCAUUGCUUCCUAGACCGUCAUACGGCAAAGUCCUCCUCUUGACUUUCUAUUGUAAAGCAGUGGUUGCCAACACACCCAGUCACAUGCAGGUGUAUAGAUUUCCCCGUCAGGAAAUCAUCAGGCUCUGUGAUGAGUUGCACCCCCACCUGGAAAGGAGAACCAGGAGGGCACAUGCACUCCCAACACACACCCAGGUUCUGGCUACACUAAGGUUUUUGAGCCAUUCCUGAUGACCCCAGUUGCACGCCCGACAACGCCUGGGGAGGAAUGAUACAACAAGUCAUCACAGGACAAGAUGCGUUGUCGAACGGACCUUUGGGAUCCUCAAGUCAAGGUGCAGGUGCCUACAUAAGUCAGGAGGAAGUUUGCAGCAUGACCCCAAGAAGACUAUGAAGAUUGCGACUUCUUGUAUGCUCCUGCACAACUACUGAGUGGAUCGCUGCAGAAGAAGUAGCAGUUCAGCCUGUGAGAAACAGCAGACUGAUUCCUGGUCAAGUUGUCAGGCAGGAAAUUAUUAGAAACUUCUUUUCCUGAGUAUAGAUUGCGUAUGGUGCACCGGUGGCCGAGUGGUCAGUGUGUGUACGUGGUGAUCCAGAGGACUCGACUCCCACCGCAAGACGCUGAGAGUUUUCAACCAUUGACAAGUGGCAGAGGGUUACCAACAUGCUGCCCAGCAGAUCUUCAGUCAACCCUAACUUCAGCGUCUUUGAUCAAGAGGGGCACCACCUCCACACCACACAUUCUUAUCACCUAGUUUGGUACCCUACUUGUCCAUCUCACAUGCCCCAUGUAUCUCAGCAUUCUGCACUCUUGGCUCCAUGUCAUCCUCUCCAACUUGUUGUUUCAUAUAGCAUAACCGGCCUCACAUACAUAGAAGUGAUCAAUAUACCUAGGCUAUAAUAUUAUAUUUAAGGACUCUUAUACGAGGUAUCGCCCCAUACAGAGGUGUCGAAGUAAGUCUGUCUGAUAGUAGGCUGGCUGACUGCUGUCGGGACCCAAGCCAGCAUGCCCUGGGGGUUGUGUGCAGGAGGAGGAAAGAGGGAAAAGGACAAAUGGUGUGUGUAUCAUUAUCAGGGGUAACCACGGUGGAGUGCAAACACUCAGUAGUUGUAGUAAGGCUUAAUUAAGUUGAUGAGUGGUGUUAGACUGAAUGAGCAGGUUUUUUACCAUAUGUUAGUGGGAACACUUGAUAGGUUUUGUUUGUGUGUUGGUGUUACUUGUUUCUUGUGUUUACAUGUUAGUUUAUAAUUAGACUAAGUUCUAAGUGUUAUGAGCGACAAUUUAGUCUUGUAUGGCUGAAUCCUGUCCCUUGACCCUUAGUUCAUCAUCAGAAUCUCUAAACAAAUAUAUUUACCUUAAGUAAUAUUCUUAAAGUCAC